UCUCCAAUUCCUCCUUUAACAGGUUAGCUUUAGUUACUGUUUACUUUUAUUCUAGUCAUCAUUUCUCCUGUUUCAUUCUCAGUUUGUUCUUUCAGUGUUUGCUUUUGUAGUCAGGGUUUCUUUACGGUCCCCUUUUUCUUAGGCCUUAGGUUCUGUUGUUUUUCCUGUUCCUUCCAGAUUCCUCUGUUUUCCUCUAUCUUCUGGUUAUUCUAGAUUUCUUAUGUUUUGGUUAUUAUACCGUAGUCUCCUGUUCUGCUUGGGUCUGUGUUUCUCCUUAGUGGUUUAUCUGUUUCACCUGCUCCCUCUGCCUCCCAGCCUCCUUGUGUCACCUGUUCCCUGUUCCUCUGAUUACCUGCCCUAUUGUUUCUUGUCCACCUUUGUCUGUAUUUAAGUUUGCCUUCGUCCUUUGUUCCACAUGUCUCUUCAAUGUCCCCAUGAGAUGUCUUUUGGAUUUUUGUCCUUGAACUGGAUUAUCUUGUCACCUCGCCUUCAUACUGCCACCAGGUCUUGAGGCGGUUGGGGGCAAAGGUGGUGACCACGUUCUCAAUGGUGGCCGACAAUGCAGAAGCGCUCUGGCUGCUGGAGGCCGCAGGUGGAGGAGGCGAUGAGUUUGUGCGCUCGGCCGAUUAACAGGUCACCCGUGGCGGGGUAGCAGCUGCCCUCCGUGCACAUAUCUGCAGACGGUG